rnacentral:tRNA from 1 species
UAGCUCAGUUGGUAGAGUAUUUGCCUCGCAUGCACAAGGCCCUGGGUUCAAUCCCCAG